GGUUUUUUGGCAUGGAUUCUGUCCUUUCAUUGAAGUACUAUUGAAUUUCGAAAGCUUCAAUCGAGUGUAUCAUUUGGCCGGGGAAUGCCCCGACGUAUUUGUGUCUAUUCAUCGGGAAAUGCCCUGAAGUAUUUUGUACCCGGAGGACGUUCGUGAUCAAGGCCCAAGGCGUCAGGCUGGAGCUUAGUCUAGAACUAGCAUAGAAUAGGAUUUAUAUUUUUCGCAAUUUUUCUAUUUUGGACUGUAUAAUUGGACUGAACAUUAUUAUUUUGGUUUUGGAUUGUUGUUUGAUGUUUGUUUAUGU